GUGAAUCCCUUGGCUCAACCAAGGAAGGGCAUUUGAAACUGUCUGGCUUGAGUACGGGAGGGGGAAGUGGAAUUCCCGGUGUAGAGGUGAAAUUCGUAGAUAUCGGGAGGAACACCGGUGGCGAAGGCGGCUUUCUGGACCGAUACUGACGCUGAGACGCGAAAGCGUGGGGAGCAAACAGGAUUAGAUACCCUGGUAGUCCACGCCCUAAACGUUGGGCACUAGGUGUUGUGGGUAUUGACCCCUGCAGUGCCAAGGGCGAAUUCCACAGUGGAUA
rnacentral:rRNA from 1 species